GGUGGUGUGGCUCAAGUGGUAGAGUGCUAGACUUGAGCUCAAAGAUGCUCAGGGACCGUGCCCAGGCUGAGUUCAAGUCCCAGGACCACCA
rnacentral:tRNA from 1 species